AUUGUUGAAAGCUUGCACAGUGUCGGUUGACAUGUGAACUUGUCGGGACAUAUAUAGGGGGUGCGCUGGGAGCUGCUCUGUCUCUCACCAUGGCCAAUGGGUAUGUGGUCGACAGUCCAUGUGUGUACCCCCUUCUAACUCUCAAGUCGGCACGGGAUGUGCCAAGGAAACUCAAUUUGAAAUUCUAUCCCAUGGCCCUCGCAUGAUGUGUGCGUGGGUUCGAGGAGGAGACAUGCAAAAUAGUCGAUGAUAGAAUGACUCUCGGCAAUGGAUAUCUCGGCUCUCGUAUCGAUGAAGAACGCGCNAAAUGCGAUACNUGGUGUGAAUUGCAGAAUCUCGUGAGUCAUUGAGUUUUUGAAUGCAAGUUGCGCCGGAAGCCAUUUUCUUGGUCGAGGGCACACCUGCCUGGGUGUCAUGUAUGGAGUUUUCCCGGGACCUUCUCCUCCACGAGACCCAUUGCUUGGUUGUUUUUUGUUUGGGGUGGAGGGGUGAGGGACCCCUCGGGUGUAUGUUGGCCUCCCAUUCCUUGUUGUGCGGUUGGUUAAAACUUGGGGUCCUUGGUUGGCAUGCGUCGUUGAUGAGUGUUCCCGUAAACAACGUUUGUCCCGUGUUGGCAGGUGAGCUCCCCRGUCCCAUGGCUUCCUUGAAACUACAACGGAGUUGCCAUUUCGACCCC
rnacentral:misc_RNA from 1 species